rnacentral:rRNA from 1 species
AACGUAGGACGCAAGCGUUAUCCGGAGUUACUGGGCGUAAAGCGCGGGAAGGCGGUACGCCAAGUCUGAGGUGAAAGCGCCCGGCUCAACCGGGCGAGGCCCUUGGAAACUGGCGGACUGGAAGGCGAGAGAGGUGGGCGGAAUUCCGGGUGUAGCGGUGGAAUGCGUAGAGAUCCGGAAGAACACCGGUGGCGAAGGCGGCCCGCUGGGCUGUGGCUGACGCUGAGGCGCGACAGCGUGGGGAGCAAACAGG